rnacentral:ncRNA from 1 species
UCUCCGGCAGGAGAAUAGGGAAAGGGGUGCAAAUCCCCUGCGGUCCCGCCGCUGUAAAGGAAGAGCGCGCCGCCGAAUACGUCACUGGGGCAUGCCCCGGGAAGACCGGCUGCACGUGAGGACGCCUGAGCCAGAAUACCUGCCUUUUGGGAU